UACGUAGGUGGCAAGCGUUGUCCGGAAUUAUUGGGCGUAAAGCGCGCGCAGGUGGUUCUUUAAGUCUGAUGUGAAAGCCCACGGCUCAACCGUGGAGGGUCAUUGGAAACUGGGGAACUUGAGUGCAGAAGAGGAUAGUGGAAUUCCAAGUGUAGCGGUGAAAUGCGUAGAGAUUUGGAGGAACACCAGUGGCGAAGGCGACUAUCUGGACUGUAACUGACACUGAGGCACGAAAGCGUGGGGAGCAAACAGG
rnacentral:rRNA from 1 species